UACGUAGGGUGCAAGCGUUAAUCGGAAUUACUGGGCGUAAAGCGUGCGCAGACGGUUGCGUAAGUCAGAUGUGAAAGCCCCGGGCUCAACCUGGGGAAUUGCAUUUGAGACUGCGUAGCUAGGGUGCGGAAGAGGGAAGCGGAAUUUCCGGUGUAGCGGUGGAAAUGCGUAGAUAUCGGAAGGAACGCCGGUGGCGAAAGCGGCGUGCUGGACCCCUCCUGACGCUGAGGCGCGAAAGCCAGGGGAGCAAACGGG
rnacentral:rRNA from 1 species